GUAACGAGCGCAACCCUUGUCCUUAGUUACCAGCACGUUAUGUGGGCACUCUAAGGAGACUGCCGGUGGACAAACCGGAGGAAGGUGGGGAUGACGUCAAGUCAUCAUGGCCCUUACGGCCUGGGCUACACACGUGCUGCAAUGGUCGGUACAAAGGGUUGCCAAGCCGCGAGGUGGAGCUAAUCCCAUAAAACCGAUCGUAGUCCGGAUCGCAGUCUGCAACUCGACUGCGUGAAGUCGGAAUCGCUAGUAAUCGUGAAUCAGAAUGUCACGGUGAAUACGUUCCCGGGCCUU
rnacentral:rRNA from 1 species